GGACACAACUAGAAGCGAUUUCCAAAUACUUGUUCAAACAUUCUGGAGCUAUCCUUCCCUUGAGGUAUUGGUCAAUGGCAUGAUAAAUGGUUCCUUGGCUUAGGGAUUCCAUGGCCCAAUCAAGCAGAUAUUGUUUCUCCUCAGGCAGUGUGCUAUCAUAUUGUGGUCUGCCAAAAAGAACUUCGUACAAAACAAUCCCAAAUGAGAAGACAUCGGAUUUUUCUUUCAGUAAACGCACGCGAUGCUCUGGGGCCAUAUAUCCACUAGUUCCCACCGCAUGAUCUGUGUCGAUUCUUGUCAAGGCUUUUGACGUGCUAAGAGGAAGCAGUUUGGACAAUCCAAAAUCUGAAAGUUUAGAACACCAUUCUUCAUCUAAAAAUAUGUUUGAGCUCUUGAUGUUAUGGUGGAUUACAGCACGCUUCGCUCCAGUGUGAAGGUAAUGUAAUCCACGUGCUGCACCGAUACAUAUGUGUAGCCUAUGUUUCCAAGCCAGUGGAACAUGAUCCUUCCCGUAGAGAACAUGAGCGAGUGACCCUCUGCUCAUGUACUCUAACACAACGAACAUCUCCUUUUCUGAAAGGCAGAACCCGAUAAGAGAGACGAGAUGCGGGUGGCGCAACUGGCAAAGCAACUUUACCUCAUUUAGUUGUAACUCACUUACUCCUCCUCCUGAACUGCCUCCGCAGCGUCUCACAGCAACAAUGGUUCCAUCGUCCAUUGUCCCUUUAUAAACAAUACUCCCGAAGUAACUUGUACCAAUAAUGGAGUCUGGAUGGAAGUUGUUGGUCGCGGCUUUGAUCUGGGCUAGUGAAAAUUGACGGCAUAUAUCCUCCGGAAGUUCUAAUUGAGGAGAUUUUUUCUUGGAAGCGAAUAAGCUUAGCAGAGAACAAAAACGAUGCCUCAUAGGGGAUAUUUUAUUUAUAUGAAGAGAACUCUAUACGCCCGAGAGAAGCUAUAUGAAAACAUAUGGAAACACUUACGCAUUGUAUUAAACUUUCUUAAUAUGUUCUGCAGUGUGAAUAGGACUGAAGUUUGAGAAUGAGUUGAAAUUUCAAAGUCAAUGAUAAUCCAAUUCAUAACAUAUAGUAAGAAUCUUAAUUUGGUGCAAUGGCAGGAUGCAUAAGCCAUCUUUGACUAAUAUAGUUUAUUGUUUGUGUCGCCAUCGUCUCGACCGUACGGCUUGCGAGAAUUGAAUUGGUAUUAAUCUACUAGAAAUAAGGUUUGUUCUGUCGGUGAAGGGGUGUCUUUGCAUUCUUUGCUCACUGCACUGGAUUUUGCUUUGAUGAGCUCAAAAUUCCUGAUUUUUAUGGUGGGAUUUUUCUUCUGGAUUCGAGGGAAUGCUUCUUGGUCGGUCCCUUGUGAUUCUUGGCAUUUUAAUGUUGAUGGUUCUAAGAAAGGGAAGACAGGGUGUGCUGGUUGUCGGUGGUGUUUCUCCGGGAUGACAAAUUGAUUUGUGGAUUCUCCUUCUCCAUGGUUUCUAUAAGUUCCUCUCAUUGUUGAAUCCGACGCUUUCGCUGCCGUUUCAUGGGUCCGUAUCACUGCUGCCAAACCAUGGAAGCUAUGAAAGAGCUUGAAUAUCAUUGACGACCUUUUGCACCAGAGUAACAAGGUGCUAAGAGAGGCUAAUGUGAUUGCAGUUCACUUUACCAUAAAGGGGAUCACCGGCUCUGAUUUUUUGCAUGGUUUUGAGGUGUCCCAUUCGGAGAGCUUUAUUUUCUUUCAUCUCUUGUGGUAUUUUCUAGUUUUGCUCCUCUGUUGUUGCACUCUCAUGUUUCUAAACCCACUGAGUAGUAGCAUUUUUGUUGCUACCUUUAAAUAAAACUGAUUUUUGAUGGGUAAAUAUACAUUUUGGUACCUGAACUUGGUUUCAAGUUUUAAUUUAGUACUUAAUUGUUUUUUCUCCAAUAAGGUACUUGAACGUGGCUUAAAGGUUUAACUUGGCACUUCAAGUUUUUUUUUGUCCAAUUAGGUACUUGAACUUGCUUGCGUUUCACAAUGGUACUUGAACUUGGCUUUUUAAUCCAAAUUAGUAUUUAUGGUAAAUAUCUUAUUUGAACCAAUUUAAACUAUGAAGCCAAGUUUGGGCACCAAUGUCACCCAAAAUGCCAAGUUCAAGUACUUAAUUGAAUAAAAAAAAUUUCAAGUAUCGAAUUGAUGAACCUUGAAGUCAAGUUUAGUUACCUAAUGGGACAAAGAAAAACUUUGGUACUAAAUUAAAAUUCAUAUACCAAUAUAUAUAUUUACCCAUUUUUAUUGAGAAUAAAAACAUUUUUUUAUAUAAUAAGUUGAAUUGAUUCAUAUAGAUACUUUUUAGAAAAAGAUGGGUGAUAAAGGUGGGUGGCUACAUUGCAAUGAGCAUGAAAAUUAUGGUUUUUUUAUUAUUAUUACAAUAUUAGAAACAAGGAAAAAAUAUCGUUUGAACUUAUGUUAUUUAAGUGUCAAAUAAAAACUUUAACAAUUACUUGAAAUAAGUCUUUACUCUUGCAUUUAAUAUUAACAACAUUCACUUUUUCAUAUUACCUCUUUAAUUUCCUUCUUAAGAAGAUAAUGCAAAUUAAUAGAAGAAAAGAAUUGCAUUUUGGUGCCAAAUGUUUAGAAUAUCAAUUAUGUUAUACCUUACUUGUUUGGGCUAAACAGUAAGCCUACAUACGAUAUGGAUAAACCUUUCGAAAGAACCCCUCGAACAAACCCUCCAGAGGAAACCUCUUGCACCAACAACUAAGUGGGCUCCACCUGUUAACCGCCACACCAGACUCCUGUCAUGACGUCCCAUCCAAGGUAACAUAAGGCAAAUGAUAGUGCCACCCUAUCUUAGCCUAUACCAUCAAACCACAUGGCCACUUGACUUGACCAUCUAAUAGCAACUUGGCAUAUGACACCUAGGGAUACAAGGCUAAAGGUAUAUAAAGCUCAAACUAACCAAGCAACGAGGGAUCUCUCUCUCUCUCUCUCUGAACCUAAUCUACACCUUAUCUCCCUUUCUUUCCUUUCUUUCUUUCUUACCACCUCUAAUCUCCUUGUCUAAUGACUCUUCGCCUUGUACUAAAACAAGGUGAACUACACAUCCUCACCCUCCUCUCCACAUUGUCUAGUUUAACCAUCAACAAGUUCUGAUAGCAAAUUUUGCUUAAAUUUUGGUAUAAUUCGCUCAAGUCCAAAAGUAAUUCCCAAUUGCAUCAUUUAAAAGUUGAAUGUUGAAUUUAGAACUAAUCCUAUAAACAAGUAAGUGGAUCAAAAUUAAAAUUUUCAUUUCUUUAUUUUUUCUGUAUACACAUGUAAAUUUUUUUUAUUUUACGAUUUGACACUAAUUCUAUUUAGGUCAAUGGUAUCAGGUAAAGGUUUUUCAAAAGUAAUGACUCUAAGAUUCAAACUUAGUCCAAAUGCUUGAGAAAAAAAAGUUUAUGGCCACUUCUUCCAACCACUUGUUGGUGAUUUUUUUUAAUCUAUUAAUGAUCUACAUUUUCAAUUGUAACAACUAUUGUGUUUAACUUACAUGUACCAUAAAUCUACACUAUUAUAAAUUUUUUGUAUAAGUUAGUAUUAUGAGUUAACCAAACAAUUGGAAAAAGAUAAAAAAAAAUUAAAAUUAUUUGUUAAUGCAAGUUGUGGAGUAGCAUUCUAAGUGGCACUCGAUAAUGGUCACUACCAUCAUCCCUGUGACAAAGUAGUAUCAUCCCUACGACAGAGGAGUAAACUUGCCAUAUUUGGUGUUGGCAAUUUAUUGAAACAAAAUCUUUGGGCUAUUGCUUAUGUUGAUAUUUUGGAGAUAUGAAAGUCGUACUUUGGAGUCACGUAUGUAUAGUCCAUCAUCCACUCAAGAUUUAGGUAUGCCAUACUAUGAACAUCACAAGUGAAUAAAUCCAAAAACGGAUUCAGGAUCUAUUCUUCUUGGGUCUAGUUUGAUGUAUUAUCAAUCCAGUCAGUCACAUCUAUAUCUCUAUCUUUUGGGAGUCAUCUGCUCCAAUGCCUAAGACAAAAUAUCUCCAUAAUUGGACUAGAUAGGCGCCAUAUUAGUCUUUCAAUUAGUUUGCUCAUUUUCUAUUAGACUAAGAACAUGUUUAGGUUCAUCUACUAAUACAAGUUGUCUUUUCGUAUUACGAUUCGACCAUGUAAUACCGCUUAAUAUCAGUUAAACAUUAAACAACUAAUGAGCAACAUUUGCUUCCAUUUUGCUUUGCGUGCAAAACCCACAAGAGGACAAUUAUACAAAGUAUAUCAAUGAAUUUGUUUUAUUAACCAAUCUGUUCAAAAAAUUUACAAGUUUACAUUGACAAAAAUACUACACUUGGGGCACCGAAUCCAACAGUUUCGCCCAUGUCGUCGUAUGUCGACCACUACUCAUAAUGCUCGCCAUUCUUUGUUCUUUUUUUUAUUUGGGUUGGGUUAUUGGUCUGGCACGCUUUUCUGAGUUUUGCCGAAAAAUUUAGAAUUACAAAAGUUACCUAGCCUAUUUUCGGCUCACAUAAAUUUUUCUAAUUUUACAAAAAAUAAAAUUAAAAAUAAUUCCUGUGUGGAUAUGAUAAUCCACGAUCUAGUAACAAACCAAAAAAAAAUAUGAAAAGCCUAAAUAUAACCUAUCUAAUGCUAGGAACCACAAAUUUUUGGCAAAAUUACUUUAUAACAAUUAUAAAAUAAAUUCAUACAUUCGUUCAGAUAUAUAACAAUCCAAACAACAUCACUUCUCAUAUUAUUUAAUCAAACAAUGAAAGAGAUAAAUAAAUAUGUUAUCCGAUUUUAAUUGUAAACAUAAUACAACCUAACUUUAAUACAAAUGAUUGGAAAAAUCAAUUUAGAAAAUAGUAGCAUACGCACAGUAGCAGUUUAAUUUUUUUUUUAAAUUGAGUCUUGUGAUAUUUAUAGUGAUAAACUCUAGACCAAAUUAGUACAUGUGCUUUGAGCCAAACAAUCUAGGUUAUUUUCUAACUUUCUACCAAACGCUCUUCUUUGUUAUAUUCGAACCCCGACUUGCUUAGAGUGCGAGCUUUAAUUUUACGAACCGAUUGCAUAGAAUAAAAUCUUUGACUGAUUUCUAAUGGAAAAUUUUAAUUUAUCUCUAUAGGAAACCAAAAACUUGAGCUUUCAAUAAAAUAGAAUUUAUUCUCUAAAAAAUUGUCAUUAUUUUGUAAUUAUUGUAAUUUUGGCUCAACCCAUAGUUCCUAUUUAUAAGAAAAAGGUAUAAGAGUUUUACUUGAAUAGUUGGUAAUUGAAUAGUAUUAUUUUAAUAGAAAAAUACAAUUUCCUACUUGAGAAUACUAAGAAGUGACGACAACCCUUACUAGGACUAGAGUUUGUCGCCCCUUACAUGCUAGAUGAGCCUAUUGGGCCUGUAUUUGGUAUUGGGUACAAUUAUAUGUAUUAUAUGGACCUUUAACCAACUCAUAUAAUUUAACCAUCCAAAUAACCACUUUUUAUAUUUCUCGAAAUAGUAAUUAAUUAUAAUUAAAUUAAAUUAUUUUCUUAAAUCAAUUAUAAUUCCGUUAAGAUCAAGAUAACUUUACCGUCCAUGAGGAAUAUAUUUAAUUGUCUUGUUUAUUAAAAUUGCGAUGACUAAUUAAUUUAAUUUUCACUUUGAAAUUGAAUUAUUUAAUUACAAUUAAUUAAAAAAUAAUUCAAAGAAAUUAAUUUAAUAUUUAAGUCAUCUUUUACAUUUAGUAAGAAAAUGCAAUUACUGCGGAUAGUGAUGCAUGUGAUAUAUCUCUUCAUCGUCAUUUUCAUACAUUCCUUAAUAUCGGUUCUACAUGCAAUCCAUUUUGAAUUAUGUCGAGCUAGCGAACAAAUUGAUUAGACAUAUAUAAUUAAAACUCAAAUUAUUUGUAAUUAAGUUUCAACUCUUGUUUAAUAAUUACAACAUUAUUUAAUCAUAGAAUUAUUCCACUAAAGCAUCAUGAUUGAACUCCCCCUUAUUAUAUUUCUUUACGAAAGCAGCUUUAUAAAUACUUAUCUAAUGACCUUAUCAUAAGCGUGUUACCCUCAUAGGAUAUCAUUUGUCUCUUUGGGUUAAAUCCAUUCAUCCAAUAUGAUCAUAUUUUUUCUUAUGGUAACUAUUAUAUCUUCUUUUAUGAAAAAUUUAAUUACUAAUAAAUACUAAUUAAAUUAUUCAUCCUAAACAAAUUACCCAAGCCCCGUUACCUUUUUUAUCUAUCAUGUAAUACCAAUGAAAGGAUAUCAUUUACCCUUAAUUGAAUUAUGAAUUUCACUAUUAUAAAUGAAGCCAUAACAUGCAGAAAUUGUAUACUCAACAUAUUGACUUUCGACUUUAGUGUUAUUUGAACUCAAACUUUUAAUACAUCAAAGUAUAUGAGUCACACGCACAUAGUCAGUCACUUACUCAAGAUUGAGGUAAGUUACACUAUGAACAUUACAGGUGAAGUAAUCUAAAUGGAUCUAGUGUAACAACCUAUUUUUAGUGAAAUCGGAACAAUGGUUUCGGGACCACAAAUCUGAAGCACUAGUUGAAAGCACUGUUGACCAAAGCACCAGUUCUGGUUCAGCCUAAAUCGGGUAAGAAAUUUUUUAUUUUUAGUGAUGGGUCAUUGAACGGUUUAGGCUGUGUUUUGAUGCAAGAAGGUAAAGUAAUAGCUUAUGCUUCCAGACAGUUAAAGCCACACGAAAAGAACUAUCCAACACAUGACUUAAAGUUGGUAGCUAUUGUGUUUGCAUUGAAAAUUUGGCAACACCAUUUGUUCGGUGAAAAAUUUCAUAUAUUUACCGAUCACAAGAGUUUAAAGUAUCUAAUGUCGCAAAAAGAUUUGAAUGAAAAAUUUCAUAUAUUUACCGAUCACAAGAGUUUAAAGUAUCUAAUGUCGCAAAAAGAUUUGAAUCUGAGACAAUGUAGAUGGAUCAAACUAUUGAAAUAUUAUGAGUUAGAUAUUGAUUAUCAUCCGGGAAAAGCAAACGUAGUUGCUAAUGCUUUGAGUAGGAGGUCAUUGUUUGUUCUGCUAGCGAUGAAUACCCAACUAUCACUAUCUGAUGAUGGCUCGAUUUUAGUCGAGUUAAAAGCUAAACCAACAUUUUUACAAUAGAUCUGCAAAGUUUAGAAAUGUGAUAAUGAGAUGUUAGCUAAACGGGUACAGUGUGAGUCGACUUUUGAUUUAGAAUUUCAAAUAGGACCCGAUGAUUGUUUGUUAUUCAAAGGUAGAGUUUGUGUACAGAAGAAUCCAGAGCUUAUAUAGAAAAUUUUGCACGAAGCUCAUAGUGGUAGCUUGCCUGUUCAUCCAGGGAGCAAUAAAAUGUAUGGUGAUUUGAGAUAGAUGUACUGAAGGCCUGGAAUUAAAUGCGAAAUUUUUUACUUUGUAUCUAGAUGUUUGAUAUGUCAGCAAGUUAAAGCUGAACAUCAGGUACCUUUAGGACUGUUACAACCAGUGAUGAUAUCGGAGUGGAAAUGUGGUAGAAUUACUAUAGAUUUCGUAUCGGAGUUACUAUUAUUUCCAAAAAAAAGAAAGAUGUCAUUUGGAUUAUCAUCGAUUAUUUGACGAAGUCUGCAGAUUUUAUUCUAGUAUGUACAAAUUUCUCACUUAACAGAUUAGCUGAGUUAUAUGUUUCAGAGACUGUCAGGUUGCAUGGAGUGCUAGUCUCUAUUAUUUUGGAUAGAGAUCCGCGGUUUAUAUCGCAAUUCUGAAAGAAGUUACAAGAAGCUCUGGGUACGCGAUUGCACUUUAGCACCGCAUUUCACCCUCAAAUUGAUGGUCAGUCUGAGCGUGUGAUUCAGAUUCUUAAAGAUAUGCUUCGGUAUUAUGUUUUAGAGUUUGAAGGUAAUUGGAAGAAAUACUUAUCGUUAGACGAAUUCGCGUAUAAUAAUAGUUUUCAGUCGAGCAUAAAGAUGACACCGUGUGAGGCGUUGUUUGGUCGUAAAUGUCGAAGUCCAUUAUAUUAUACUAAGCUUAAUGAGAAAAAGAUAUACGGGGUUGAUUUGAUUUGCGAGACUAAGGAAAAAGUGAAAGUGAUCCGAGAUAGCUUAAAAGCAACUUCAGAUCGUCAGAAAUCUUAUUCGGAUCUUAAACGUAAAGAAAUAGAGUUUCAAGUUGGUGACAGGGUAUUUUUAAAAGUUUUGCCCUGAAAGAAAGUUCUUCGGUUAGGUCGUAAAGGAAAGCUGAGUCCGUGAUUUAUCGGGCCGUAUGAGAUUACUGAGAGAAUCGAACCUUGUGCAUACUGAUUAGCUUUAUCGUCAAAACUUGAAAGAAUCCACAAUGUCUUCCAUGUGUCUAUGUUACGGCGUUAUCGAUCUGGCCCUUCACAUGUUAUCUCUCCGACGAAGGUUAAAAUUCAGCCUGAUAUGACAUACAAUGAAUAACCGAUCAGAAUUCUAGCACGAGAGGUGAAAGAGUUGAUAAAUAAAAACAUAACCUUAGUAAAAUUUCUCUGGCAAUGACACGGAAUAGAAGAAGCUACUUGGGAACCCGAGGAAGCUAUGAGAAUUCAAUAUUUGAACCUAUUUUCUAGUAAGAUUUUCGAGGACAAAAAUUUCUUUAGGGGGAGAGUUGUAAUAGCCCGUUUUCAGUGAAAUCGAAACAGUGGUUUUUAGACCACAAAUUCAAAGUUAGAAAAUUUAUUUUAUUAUUCUUUGAUGGUAUAAAGUAUGAUAAAAAUACCAUAUAAAAGUUUAGUUAAGAAAUUUUACUGUUUACAUGCUUAAUUUGAUAAAAAGGACUAAAUUGCGUAAAGUGUAAAAGUUGUAUUUUAAUAGCUAAAGGUAUUAAAUAGCUAUAGAAUUUUAAAGUGGAGGUCCUUAUUUAGUAAUUAGCCAUUAAGGUUGUUAGUGGAUAAGUAUGGGUUAUUAUUAAAAUUUUGAUUAGUUGUUAAGGUUAAAUUAGUAAAUAGGUAAUAAAUGAUAAAUAAAAUAAAACAAACCAUCAUUAUCCAUUAUCAUCAUUUUUCACCAAAAAUUUAAAAGAAAACCUAGCCAUGGAAGCUUGAAAUUUCAACAAGCUUAUUUUUCUCAAUUAGGUAUGAAUUUUUGUCCCGCUUUUGAUGAUUUCUAAGUUUUCGGGAUCAUUGUAGCUUAAUCUAGCUAGCCUGGGGAUUAAUUUGCAAAACUAUUAAAGUAUUAGGGUUUUGCAAUUGAUGAACAUGCUUGAAUUUUGAAGUUUGAUGAUAGAAGAUGAAUGGUUGUUGUUAGAUAAAUAAUUUUUGUAAAUAAUUUUUGUAAAGAGAUUUUUGGUAAAAUUAUUAAUUGGAGGCUAAAUUAAAAAAGGUAAUAAAUUUAUGGUAAAAUUUGUGAAUUUUGUGAAAUAUAUGGACUACUAUUAAUAUGCAUAAAAAUUAACUAGGCUUGGGUAAGGAUUAAAUUGCAUGAAUUUCAAUUUUUAAGCCUAGGGACUAAAUUACAAAGAAAUUAAAAGUAUAGGGCAAACUAGUAAUUUUGUCAAAAUUCCAUGUUGGAUUAAUUUGAAUGAGAAUUAUAUUAAAAUGAUUAAAUUCAUUCGUAUAGAUCCUGUCAGACCUCGUACAGAGUUAGGUCGUGGUAAGGACAAAAUAUAAGAUUAGUCGCCUCCGUGUCUACGUACACUCGUCAAGGUAAGUUCAUGUAAUUAAGUUGUGUAAUUUGUAUGCUUUGUUUGAAUUAGAUGUAUAUUAUUUUCAUUAUUAUCAUAUAUGAAUAUCGAUCGUAUAUCUGACGACGUACGACAAUUACCAAGCCCCGUUUGAACAUUAAGAAUUUGUAGGAUACAAAUGACAUGUCAUUAGGGUUAUCGAUUUCAGCUCAUAUGAGCUUAUUGAUACUCAUCUCGUAUGAGCUUACCAUUAUUCAGCUCAGAAGAGCUUACCGUUUACAGCUCGUAUGAGCAUAUAUGUACAUGAAUUGACAGAUUACAGUUCAAUACACCUCGUGUGUACUACCCGUGUAUCCAAUAAUAUUCUAAAUGGUUCAACGAGCAUAGUUCUGUUACGAGUCUAUAAGAAUUCAAUACGAACUAGUAUAGGUAUUUACAUGAAUUACAUAGAAUUGAUUUAUAUAUGAUAUAUGGAUACAUGAUAUAGAUGUUACAUGUAUAUGGAAUUUGAAUAGUGGUUGAAUUCAUACAUGUUUCUUGAUAUUAUAUGAAUUACAUGACUAACAUGGUUGUUGAGGAUAUGUGUUUAGGCUUUUGGCCAAAUUGAGUUGGAUAUGUUUUGGAUGCUUACCUUAAAUGUGAUUAAAUGGUAAGUUAAUUUCUUUGUUAUACGAACUUACAAAGCUUAAAUGCUUACUCUAUAUUAUUUUUCGUGUUUUAUAGUGAUUCGGAAGCUCAUUCAGGUUGGAAGCUUAUCGGAGAUAUAUCACACUAUCCAUCGGCUCUUUUGGUACUUUCGGUUAAUUAAUUCCGGUUAUAAUGGCAUGUAUAGGUUAAUUUAGCCAAUGUUGGCAUAUAAGUAUUUUGUUGAGACUAGUCACUUAUUUGGCUUGUGUUCGGUAUAUUUUGAAGUGUAUAUAUAUGUGACUUUACCAUAUUAGUUGUAUGUGAUGAUAUUACAUGUUUUAAACUUGAUCUUGGCUGGUUUUGGAUGUCUAUUUAUGACUUGGUCAUAUGCAAAUUGUUGUGUUUAGGUUGGUACCAAAUUGGGUGAGAAAUGUGGCCUGGAAAAAUAACUUAUUUUCGUCCACACGAGUGUGUGUCUUAACCGUGUGUAACACACGACCAGGUGACACAGCCGUGUAUCCCCUGUAUCUUCUUAAGAAUACAAGUCAGUAUGCUCACUCGACCUAGCACAUGGGCAUGUGGCUUGGCCGUAUGACCCAUGUCAAUGAGUUAUACGUGCACGGACACGGGCUAGGACACGGCCGCAUGUUCCUAUUUCGUAUGUCCACAUGGCCUAAAACACGGGUGUGUCUCUUGGCCGUGUGAGUUACACGGCCAUGUGACCCCUACAACUUUGAAAAAUUUCAAUAUUUUCUGAAAAAUUCUUUGAGUAUCCGAUUUAAUCCCGACUUAUUUCUAAAGCGUAUUUGGGCCUCGAGGGCUUGUAUAAGGGACAAUAUGUUUGAUUUCGAUUGGUUUCUGACAUGAAUAUUAUAUAAUAUGAAAUGUUUGAAAAGUCUAUUUAUUUGAGCUGUAAACUUCGGUAAUACUCUGUAACCCUGUUUCGACGAUAGAUACAGGUUAGGGGUGUUACAUCUAGGGUUAAUUCAACUUGGGUCUUAUCUGAUGUAUUAUCAAUCUAGACAAUCACAUUGAUGUCUCUAUCUUUUGAGAUUCAAUCACUCUAAUACCUAAGAUAAGGUAUCUCCCUAAUUGAACUUUAUAGACGACAUAAUUGUAACAGCCUGAUUUUGGGUUUAGUCGGAACAGUGGUUUUGGGACCACAAAUCCGACGAGGAAAAAUGUACUGGCUUGAAUUUUCAGAGGUGUCAGAACGGUGAUUCGAGAUCACUAAAUUCGAAAAAUGGGUAGAAAAUAUUAUUAAUUUAGUGAGUAUAAGUUAAAUGUGAAGUUAGGAAAAUUUUUGAAAUAGUGAAUAGUGUACUAGAAAUAAAUAUUAAAAUAAUUAGAAUCGAAAAUGAGGUAUCAAGACCUCGGAGAUUUUAAACUGAGUCAUAAAUCUUUUUAUAAAUAUUUGUGGAGUGUUAAAAAGUUAGUAUAAAAGUUUCGUUGAGAAAUUUUAAAGUUCCGAUAAUAAAUUGAACAAAAAGGUCUAAAUUGUAACAAAUGCAAAAUUAUGGGAAUGAUUAAAUAACUUAAAUGAUAAAAGGAAGAGGGCUUAAAAGUCAAAUAGACCCAAGGUCUAUUUGGGCUGGACGGCAAAGGCAUGAAAUCAGCAAGAAAGUAAGAAGAAUUAAGGGCAAAAUUGGAAUAUUGCAAAAUCUUCUUAAUAAAGUUAGGACCAAAGUGGAAUUAUCUAGAUUUCUCUUCAUUUUUCUGAAUUCUCAUCAGCUAAAACACCAUGGAAGGGCUUCUUCAAGCUGGUUCUUCAUAUUUUUAUUACAAGUAAGUUCAAUUCUUGACUAUUUCUUGAAAUUUUUGUAUUUGUAUGACUUUUACAACUAGGCCCACUUGUUAAAUUUAUUAGUUUUUGAUUUUAUGAAAGAAUUUGAAAGUUGAUAUAAAUAUGUGCUGGAAUUAUAUGAUGAUUUAUCAUGAAAUUAGAGCUUUAAAUUGUUCAUAUGCUGAUUUUAUUGAAAGAAUUGAAAGAAAGUGAAUGUUUGGGACCUAAUAGUAAAAGAGUUUGAAGAUAGAGUUAUAUGUGGAAAUUCUGAAUUUCAAUAGUUGUGUAACAACUUAUAAUGUCUAGGUAAAGUAUUAAUUGAGAAAAUUAGAUUAAUUGAGGGGUUAAUUGAGAAAGGACCGAAUUGUAUAAACUGUGAAAUUUGGGGCAAAAUGGAAAUCAACAUUUUGCACUAAAGCAGUUUUAGACAGCAGCGGUAGUCUAACUUUGAAAAAUCACCAAAAAUUGUAUAGAUUUAAUUAGAGGAUGAAUAAAAUAUGAAACUAAAGCUUGUUAAGUCUAGUCUCUCAUAGAAGAAACAGUGUGAGCAAUAGAAUUGUAAAUUUUGAGAUAUUUGAAGUUUAGUUAGACCGAGUCAGAAUGAGUUAGGAAUCCCCUGUUCUGACUUUGGAAAAUUGUUAAAAAUUGUACAAAAAUAAUUAUGAGUUAUGGUUUAUAUGAUUAGAAUCAUUUAUGAGUAUAUUUUCAAAAUAAAUAAACAAAAACAUCAUCUGAAUUCUGUACAAUGAGAUAAUUAAUUUUUAGUGAAGAGAGGUCAGAACUAUCAGACAGCGAAACAGGGGAAACUUUAAAGAAUAAACUAUACUAUUUGGCUAAAUAAAAAAUUAUGAAAUUUUUAUGGUAAGAAUAUAUAUGAAUCUAGUUUUGGGAAAAAUUUACGGAUCUUAAUUUGGAGUUCUUAGCUCCAGGAAAAAAUAAUUUAGUGACUCUAACUCAGACGGACAGCUUGAAUUUUACAUACAAGAAAAUAGUGAAAGUACGAAUAAUGUUGUUUAAAUGUGUUAUACACAUUAAGGAUGAGGAAUGGAGAGGAGGUGGAGGAAAAUUGGAAAAUAUAUGAAUGAUUUGUGUAUAAUUGGUCAUAUGCUUGAUUAUAAUUGAUAAACGAUGAAAUAGAAAUGAUGCUUAUAUUUGUGCAUUAUUGGUCAUGGUUUAAGCUCAUGUGUGAAAAUAAAGUUUCAUAAGUAUAUUCGGUAUAUGAUUGGCAUGAAAUAAUGUCAUGAAUGGUUUAUGGAUUAACACAUGUUGGUAAGCCUAAUACAUGAAUAAGUGUUGUGCUCAUCCAUGCUUAUAAUGCUUAUGCUAUAUGUGUAUUUGGCUGAGAUAUUUGGUGUAUAUGCUUAGGCUUUGGCCAAGUAGUGGCUAAAUUAUGCUAUGUUAAAUUUAUAAGUUAUGCAUUGAAAUGGUUUAUCAUGUGGUUAUCCCUAAAAAGAGUUAUGUUUAAAUACACUAGCUUGCGACUAUCGUUGAAUGAUAUGUUUAUAUCUUGUGUGAUGUGCAUAGAAAACGAGUGUGGAAAGAUGAUGAAAUAAUAAGUUCAUAUGGCUGAAAUUUAAUGAUUAAAUGUUAAUUUCAUGAAUUAUAUAAUGUAUGUUGAGAUAUAUUUAUUGUUGAAAUAAGAAUAAAAUAAAAGUGCGAAAACUGAAUAAAUGAUCAAAUUGAGCGGAACGCCGGAUUUGGGUACUUCUGAUCAGUGAUAAGUGAUAAGUGACAAGUGGAAAGUGAUAAGUGGUAGUUUUAGCUACACUUAUCUGAUCAAGUGAUAAAGUGAUAAGUGGUAGCCUUAGCUACACUUAUCUGAUCAAGUGACAAAGUGAUAAGUGGUAGCCUUAGCUACACUUAUCUGAUCAAGCGACAAAGUGAUAAGUGGUAGCCUUAGCUACACUUAUCUGACAAAGUGAUAAGUGGUAGCUUUAGCUACACUUAUCUGAUCAAGUGAAAAAGUGAUAAGUGGUAGCCUUAGCUACACUUAUCUGAUUAAGGACAAGUGAGAAGUGAUCAUACUUAAGACCAUAGUUAUAUUAUGGCAAAGAGAAAGUGAAGUACUCAAUUUUCCGUAACCGUUCCCUAAUUUGAUUAAGGAUGGUAAGUGACAAAUUGGCUCAAAAGAAUUAAAGAAAAAUGGAUAAGUGGUAGUGUAUUUAUACCAGAAUGAUGUUGUUUUUUUAAACUAAAAUGAUAUUUUCAUUGCAAAAUUGAGAAUUUCAUAAAUGUGUUAAUGAAUGGUAUAAUUGUUAAACGUUGAUUUAAAUGGUAAAUACGAAUUAGUGUUAAACUUAGUGACAUUGAAUUGUACGUGAAUUAAAUAGAAAUUGCUAGUGAUAUGAUUUAAAUUGUGAGCAUGAGAAAUUGCGAAUUAAAUGAAAUGGAAAUGAAGCAUUGAUUUACAUGAGUAUGUAUCGGGUCUCGUAGGCCCUAAUUAUUAUGAUUAUAAUAUUUUGAAGAUAUAUUGUGAAAAGUUAUAUAUUAACAAUUUUGAAAGUUUUAAUUUAGAUGAAAUUUUAUAACUCUGUUAAAUACGUUUACAAGUGUAUGUGUUCUGGUAAUGCCUCGUACCCUAUUCCGGUGCUAGAUACGGGUAAGGGGUGUUACAAUAAUAGUCAUUUAACCGAUUUGUUCAAUUUCGAUUCAUCAGACUAUAGACCUUUUACAUUACCUACUAAUAUAAGUUGCAUUCUCACAUUAUUAUUAAACCAAAUAAUAAAACUUAGUAUUAGUUAAACAUUAGGUAAUUAAUGAGACAAUAUUCGCUUAAAUUUUGCUUUGCAUGCAAAAAAUGUUGAGGAUAAAUACAAACAAUACUAAUGUGAAUAAUGAAAUUUUAUUAGAGGAUAAAUACAAACUUGAAAAAUUACAAGUAGAAAGGAAUAAUAAACUACACUUAGAGCACUAGAUCCUAACACUACAUUCCCAUGAGUGGGGAUCAAACCUCGACCAUAUUAUUAAAGGAUGAGGUAAGCAACCACCACACCUCAACUUAGCAAUUUUUUUAGUCAUAUAUUUAAACAUCUUUUUAAAAUUGUUUAGAAAGAAACAUUUGAUUUUUGCAAGUUGAUAUUUGAGCAGUUAUAUGAGUAAUUAUCAUUGGGGCAACUAACAAUUGAAGAACAAUAAUACAAAAAGAUUGGUUACGCAAUUCAGUUUCCAUCUACGUCUAAGGAGCUUUACCCAAAAAGAUAAUCUACAAUCUUCAACCAUGUACUGGUGAUGAUUUAACUCAUACUACUCACCAUGGUUAAGAACCUUUAAUAUUUAUAUCAUUCUUUGCUAAAUUUUUCAUGAAAGCUCAAUUGUAAAAUUAAAUGACUCACUUAUAUUUUACUUAGAAAAUGCACUCACAAAAGAGUUUCUAAUUGAACAAAAUAAAGUGCUAACUUUGUUACCAACUAAGGGUGGGUUUGGAUGAGCGGUGCAUUUACCUGCGGUUAGUGUAAAAACAGCGGUGGCGGUGAGAUUAGAUACUGUAGCGUGAGACAAAAAGUAAGUUAAACGCAUCGUACCGCACCCAAUCGCCCAUCCAAACCCACCCUAAGUCAAGCCUUUAAUGUAUAGUGGUUUAAGGCACGCUAAAAUACAAACUAGUUACCAUACCAAAUCCCACUAAAGUAUCCUAUAAAAUAGGUUACAAUUAUCUUAAUAAUUUUCUUUUAAUUUGAAAUUUGAGUUUUAGAGUAGAGUAGGUAAAUUUUUUGUGUCAGGUUUAGGAUAAUUUCACUCCCACCCCGCUCUAACAUAUUUAGAAAACUAUUUUUUUUAUUUUAUAAAUAGUUUUUAUUUUUCAAUUAUAAUUUCAUAAUUUUAGAAGAAUUUAUAACCUAUAUUUAAAUUUUGUAAGUAUUAUUUCAUAUAUUUUGUUAUAAUUUCAUAAUUUUAUAAUUAUUUGGUUUAAUUUUAUAAAAAUUAGCAUACUAUAAAACAUUAUUUAAAAUUUCAGAGCGAGAUCAAAGAAGUUAUAGCGUGAUCAGAUUAGUGACAAAAUUUUUAAAUAAAAUCAAGUUUAAAAUGAGAUGUAUAAAAAUUAGAUCAGAACUAAGGUGGGCAAAAAAUGGUCUUGACUGUUCAAUUGCGAUCCCUCGACAAAACUAAUUAUUUCAAAAGUACUUUGCAUUGUAAUGGUGUUUCUUUCCCAGAUUUGUCAUUUAGGGUUAUCUAUUUCUCUUUCUUAUAUGUUAAAACUUCUCUUGAUUUGAGUGCUUGUUGGUGUUGCAUCAACUAUUGGAGGGUUUUUUUACCUAAUUAAGAUAGAAAAAAAAAUUACUGAAAUAGUAUGUCAGAAAAAAAAGUUACCAAAAUAGGUUACUUUUUCAUUGGAGCCUAUUAGAUAGGCGCCAAUGAAUAAAAUAAUAAUAAUAAAAAAUUUUAUUAAAAUAUAAUUUUAUAUUUUUUAAAUAUUUUUUUAAAAAAAUACGAGUCAAAAUACGGUCGGGUCGGGUCGGAUGGCGCCUAUCAAGUAGGCGCCAAUGAAGGAGCCUGGUAGCCAGGCGCCAAUGGCUCUGCCCCCCCUCCCCCCAUGGUCUGCUGCUGCUGCCAUGCCAUUGAAAUGUCCCUUCAAAACAAUUUUAUUUUUGCUAUAAGUAAUAGCAAAUGAACCAAGCUCCAGACGGUAGAGAAAAAAAAAAGAGAGAAAGGAGAAGAGGAGAAGGAGAAGAAGAAGAAGAAGAAGAAAGUUUAUAAAAAAGGUAAUGUAUUUUUUUAAUAAAUAAUUUUGUUUAUAAUUUAAUAAGUUUAUAGUUUGUGAAUUUUUUAGUAUAUAUUUUAGAAAAUAUUGUGAAUUUUAUGUUAUUAAUUAUUAAUUAUAAAUUAUCUAUAUUUAGUGUUUAUAGUUUAGAUUAGAAUUUUGUAUGAAUAUUUUAAAUUUUUUGUAUGAAUAUUAUAAUUUUUUUAUGAAUAUUGUAAUGUUGUAUGAAUAUUGUAAUUAUUUUAUAAUUAAAUUUGUAUUUAUAGUUUUGGAUUAGUAAUUUUUUGUAUGAAUAUUGUAAUUUUGUAUGAAUAUUAUAAAUUUUUUGUAUGAAUAUUGUAAUAAUAUUAUAGUUUUGUAUGAAUAUUGCAAUUUUUUUGUAUGAAUAUUGUAAUUUUGUAAUUUUGUAUGAAUAUUAUAUUUUUUUGUAUGAAUGUUGUAAUAUUAUAAUUUUGUAUGAAUAUUGCAAUUUUUUUGUAUGAAUAUUGUAAUUUUGUAAUUUUGCAAUUUUUAUGUAUUUUGUUUACAUUUUGAAACAGUUUUAAGAAAUUUGAAAUUCUUUUUUUACAGAUCUAGUAUUGAAAAUGGAGAAUCAGUUUUUUUGUAUGCGUUUAUUUCGAUGGAGAAAUUUUAACAACAACUGUGGGAUGUAUAUUUGAAUGUCGCAAACAAGUAGCAAUGAGAUUUGAUAGAAAUAUCUCGUUUGAUGAUAUGAAGGAAAAAAUUAGUGAAAAAAUUUAUAGACGUUGUGGGAGAAGGUUAUCAAAAGUUUUCUACAAGUUUCCAAUAUCAACAGAUCCAAUAAAAUUUACCGAAAUGGAACUUGUAGACGAUGAAGACGUGGAAACAAUGGUCGCUCUUUAUUGUGGGACUUCGAGUAACAAAAAUGCACCGAUUCAGUUAUUUGCUGAGUUAGCCAGUGUGAAGGCAACUGAAGAUCCCACUCCAUUAGGUGAAGAAGAUGGAGUUGAAGCGCCGUGUAUGGUGGUUCCGGUAUCGUAUGUUGAUAGUCAAUCACCUAUACAUGGGAUAAAUAUUGAUCUUAAUGCUGCAGCCGAGACUAUGUGGUUGGUGAUGAUGUAUACUAUAGUAGUGAUCCUGUUGAUUACGAAGUGGAUAGUGAGAGUGAUCCCGACGCAGACGAGGUCCCGGAUGAUAUUGACGACGAAGGGGUGAAUGAGGAUGGAAAUGUUAAUGCGUCUUCAAUCGGAAACCAGAUUCAUCGUAUUGUGAUACACAAUAAUCCUGGGGCACACAUGUCUCGGAUAGACCCCGAUGCGGCACGGGCAGCUGAGUUUUCGGAGUACCCUGAAAUACCACAUGGUUACCGAAUGGGCGUAUAUUAUGAUCCAGAUGAGUUACGCGUGGGCCAGAGAUUUGAAAGUAAGGAAGAAUGUAUGUUUGCGAUUAAGCGGUAUAGCAUGAAUAUAUCAGUAGAUUACAAAGUCAUCGAGUCUAAACCAACAUUAUAUAUUGGAGAGUGUUAGAGGUCGGCAGAAGGCUGCAAUUGGCGGGUACGAGCUGCAUUUAUGCAGAAGUCGCAGAUGUGGGAAAUACGAAAAUUUGUGGAGCCCCACACAUGCACUUCAACACGUCUGACAGAAGAUCAUCGAAAACUUGACUCCAAAACUAUCUGUACAUGCAUCAUGCCAAUGGUGAAAGACAUGCCGACCAUUAAAGUUUCGGUACUGAUUGCUGAAAUACAAGCACGAUUCCAGUAUCGAGUAUCAUACCGGAAGGCAUGGAUAGCUAAACAGAUGGAAAUGGAGCAAUUGUACGGAGAUUUCGAUGCAUCGUACAAUGAAUUAUAGGGAUGGAUAACCGCCAUGAGGGAACAUGUACCGGGGACUGUAAUUGAGUUGCAGACACGAUCUUAUGACGGUCCAAAUGACCAAUUACAAUCGAGAAAAAGAAUUUUCCAUCGGAUGUUCUAGACUUUUGAUCAAUGUGUGCGCGCAUUUCCCCACUACAAACCAUUUGUGCAAGUAGAUGGAACCUGGCUAUAUGGAAAAUACACACAGAUCUUACUUCUUACGGUUGCUCAAGACGGCAACAGGAACGUACUCCCGAUAGCAUUUGCCAUCGUCGAUAAGGAGAACAUGGAAUCGUGGGAGUUCUUUCUUACCAACCUGCGGAGGUAUGUGAUUAGCAAUGAUAAUAUUUGCAUCAUUUCCGAUAGAGGAAAAUGAUUAAUUGCAGCCAUUAGGCGUUCUGGUGUACCAUGGCGAUCUGUUUACUGCAUCCGGCACAUCGCGGCUAACUUCCAGCGAGAUUAUAAGAAUGCAGACUGGAAGAGACAAGUUGUGAGAAUGGGUAAAGAAUUACCUUAUCUUUUAAAUAUAAGUUUUAAUGUUUUAGAGCAAUACUGUAACUUAAAUUUUUUUCAAUGUAUAUGCAGCGUACGAGUUAGAGCCACACAUUUUUCGCCAAAGAAUGGCCCGACUUGAGAGUGACAUGGAGGGUCAAACCAACACAUCUUUCCGGCAGUGGCUGGGUACCAUGGACCCGUGGCAAUGGGCUCAAAGUUUUGACGAGGGCUUUCGUUAUGGUCAAAUGACUACAAACUUAGUGGAGGGGAUCAACGCUGUGUUAUUAAAAACACGGCAUCUUCCAAUUUCAUCUGUCUUCUCGGCAACGUUCUUCAGGUUGGCUACCUUGAUGCCAAGAAUGGGUCAGCAACAAGUGAACCAGAUGGAGGCGGGCCAUGUCUUUGUCGAAGGCAUUAGGGAUGCAAUGGUUGUAAACCGUUGAAUGGCGAGGUCGAUGACAGUAGAAGUAUAUUCACGACAUAAUGAAACGUUUCGAGUUACAGAGACCAUCGGUCGUGGACCCAGUAUACCACCUAGGUCCUACGGAGUUGAUCUCCGAAAUAGACGGUGCGAUUGUAGAAGGUUUCAAACACUUCAUUUUCCAUGUGCACACAUCGUGGCAGCUUGUGCUAAAGUUGGGCUCAAUGUAGAACAAUUUAUAGAUGAAGUGUACACCAUCGACGCACGUUGCGUGUAUGGGAAAACGAGUUCCCCGUGCUUCCUGACCUAUCUACUUGGGAGGUACCUCCGGCGACCUUCGAGCUAGUCCCAGACAUAAGGUUGCAUAGAAACCUGAAAGGUCGUCCGCAAUCAUCCAGAAUCCAUAACGAAAUGGACAUUAGAGAGAAAUAUGACGGGAAUUUGUGUGGCGUAUGCAGAUUACCCGGUCAUAAUCGAAGUAAAUGCCCUUUCUGAAACUACCAUGUUGGACAAUCGUCUCAAUUGAAUAGAAAUUGAUAUGUACUUCAUUACAUAGAUAUGGUUUGAAUCACAAAAUUAUCUACAAUUUGUUGCAGUUAUGGAGACAUUUUUAAACCAUUGUAAUUUUAUUUAGAUAAGAACUAUCAUUACAUAAAUAUACGGGUGUUUAUUACAAAACCCCUAAAAUUGAUGGUUUGAUGGUAUGGUUCUAGGGGUAUAUUUUUGUGGAGCUCGACGUUGACGUUGUGGGCGAUUACGGUUAUCAACAUUCUCCUCAACAGUAUGUUGGGGUGUGUGAAACAUAGACGAAUAAUCAUAUGUCUCAAAUGCCAUCGUUGAACUUGAUCCGGGAGGAGAGGAGUACGACGGCAGAUAUUGGCCAGAAGGAGCAGAGUACUGAGGUGGAUACGAGGCCACAAAAUAGUCAUCGCCCCCUAAUUCUGGAUGAUAAGAACUAUCCUUAGAAUGUAGUUCUGCCUCUCGCUCUGGCUCUGGCUCUGGCUCUGGCUCUGGCUCUGGCCCUGGCUCUGGCUCUGGUGUAUGAUGCAGAUCUCCAAAGGGUUGCGUAAUCCGUGUCGUAUACGGAGGGACUACAAUCGACCGCCCACCAAACAAAAAUGGUUUCCCUGUCUCACAGUACCACUGUAUAUACUCUAACGAGGGUUGCACAUCCGGAGCACGAUCCAUCUGAGGUACCAUCCCGAACCGGUUGUUCCAUAUCGUGAUAUACUCUUCGUGCACUUCUUCCCAAUUAUCUCCAUACCUCCCUUUCUUGCUCAUCCCAUGGAUCUCCCCUAAUUGUACUGGCAGUGUCGGGAUAUACUGUAUGCAACCGAACUGUCGGAGUACUCGAUUGCCAUGAUACCACUCCACUACGUUAAAAUUGAUAAUGGGUGCGCUAAUACACCAUAGGUUUGAGUGGACGCGGGCCGAUGAUGGCAUAACUGCCAUAAUUUCUGGAGCAGAAUACGACAUCCAAAUGAACUGCACAAUUAAUAACGUUGUUAUAUUAACGCGGGUCGAGUGAGAUAAAAUAAUAAAAUUAAGUUUAUAUUCGAAAAACGUACCCCCUCUCCAGCAUGAUUCUCAAUCAUUAAACGAUAUAUCGGAACCGACGGUGACCUCCCGAUCCCCGGAUUACUUCUCCACCUACGAAAACAAAUUGUUAGAAUAAUAUAUUACAAAAAAGUCAACUAAUUAUUAUAAUGAGUAAAAAUUCAUCACCUAUUAACGAGUGGAAAUACAUAUGAUUGAUGACUAAUGGAUGUCAAGAAUGGCAUCCGGUAAAGUGCCCACGACUGCAGCAGUAUGAGGCAUCCGCCAAUGUCAGCCGCAGAAGGAUUUGUUGUCCGACAAAGUUCGCGAUACAGAAUGGCUAAAACUGCGUACCCCCAACUGUAUGAACGAGUGUUAUGAAAAUUGGAUAAUAAGGGUAAGUACAUCAAGUGGACCUUACUGCCGUUUGUAUCCGGCAUGAGUACACCCCCUAUAAGGUGCAUAAUAUAAGCUCGAAUAGCCUGCAUCACCUCCCGUUCAUUAGCAGUACUUGGCAAAUGCUCAAAAUUGGCAUGUAGCCAUGAAAAUCUCAAACUGGUAAAUUUCCCCUGACUUGGCGAGCGUCCAAGUAAUUCAUUGCAAAGGGUAGCCGGCCUAGAGAUUGAACUUAUGCCCGUGAUCGCAUUCCCGUCUAUGGGAAGCCCGAGCUGUACUGCAACGUCCUCUAGAGUGACGGUACACUCUCCGCACGGCAGAUGAAAUGUGUGGGUCUCCGGACGCCAUCGCUCGACUAAAGCGGAAAUCAAGUCGUAUCGCAGAUCAAAAGUCUGAAUCAAUGCCGCUGAUCCGAACCCGGCUAACUCUAAGUAUGGUAUUAGGCGUUCAUCUGGCUGAAACCCUACACUAUUAACACGGCCCCUCAAUGCGCGGUACGGACCCUGACAUUAUUAAAUUAGCAAAAUAGUUAAUACAAUAUAAUUUAAUUUAACAAAUAACAUGAUUAUCAAAAAUAAAUUUUAUUACCAUCUCAUUAAUAGUACUUGAUAUGUGAUUAUUAUUAUUAAUUAGAGAACCCAUUUCUGCAAAUCUGCAAUAAAAAAAAUGAAUUCAGUUAAUUUGUUUCAAAAAAAUCAAUAAUUACUGUUAAAUAAAUACAAAAUCAAAUAAAAUUUAAUUAUAUAAAAGUUACAUUAUAUAAAAAUUAAAUAAGUUAACAACAACUAUAUGAUUAAAAAAGUCAGUUAUUUUUUGGUAAAUUUUUUUCUGACAUCCUAUUUUCAGUAUUUUUUUUUCUAUAUUAUUGGUGUAAAAAACCCAAACUUUUAAUAAAAUGAUUUUUAAUUUUUUAUAAUUAAACUUUUAAUGAAAUGAUUUUUAAUUUUUUUAUAAACUUUAUAUGUUAACUCACCAAAUACUAAACUAAACACAACAACUUAUAGCUUAAUCCUAAAUUACUAAUAAAUUAAAUUUUAAAUAAUUACAAACACAAAAUAUUGGUGAAUUUUUCCAAAUUACUAACAAAUUAUUUAUAAACUAAUUACAAUAUUCAUACAAAAAAUUGCAAUAUUACAAUAUAUCCUCACAUUACAAUAUUCAUGCAAAUUACAAAAUUACAAUAUUCAUACAAAAAAAUUGCAAUAUUCAUACAAAAUUAUAAUAUUACAACAUUCAUACAAAAAAAUAUAAUAUUCAUACAAAAUUACAAAUUACAAUAUUCAUACAAAAAAAUUGCAAUAUUCAUACAAAACUAUAAUAUUAUUACAAUAUUCAUACAAAAAAUUUAUAAUAUUCAUACAAAAUUACAAAAUUCAUACAAAAAAUUACUAAUCCAAAACUAUAAAUACAAAUUUAAUUAUAAAAUAAUUACAAUAUUCAUACAACAUUACAAUAUUCAUAAAAAAAUUAUAAUAUUCAUACAAAAAAUUUAAAAUAUUCAUACAAAAUUCUAAUCUAAACUAUAAACACUAAAUAUAGAUAAUUUAUAAUUAAUAAUUAAUAACAUAAAAUUCACAAUAUUUUCUAAAAUAUAUACUAAAAAAUUCACAAACUAUAAACUUAUUAAAUUAUAAACAAAAUUAUUUAUUAAAAAAAUACAUUACCUUUUUUAUAAACUUUCUUCUUCUUCUUCUUCUUCUUCUUCUUCUCCUCUUCUCCUUUCUCUCUUUUUUUUUUUCUCUACCGUCUGGAGCUUGGUUCAUUUGCUAUUACUUAUAGCAAAAAUAAAAUUGUUUUGAAGGGACAUUUCAAUGGCAUGGCAGCAGCAGCAGACCAUGGGGGGGGGGGCAGAGCCAUUGGCGCCUGGCUACCAGGCUCCUUCAUUGGCGCCUACUUGAUAGGCGCCACCCGACCCGACCGUAUUUUGACCUGUAUUUUUUAAAAAAAAAUAUUAAAAAAAUAUAAAAUUAUAUUUUAAUAAAUUUUAUUAUUAUUAUUAUUUUAUUCAUUGGCGCCUAUCUAAUAGGCUCCAAUGAAAAAGUAACAUAUUUUGGUAAAUUUUUUUUCUGACAUACUAUUUCAGUAUUUUUUUUUUUCUAUCCUAAUUAGGUAAAAAACCCACUAUUGGAUAAGGUCCUUAUUUGUCAUAGGUGGUAUGCUGGUCAUGUAUUAAGCACAUACUAAGGCAAUAUAUCAGAUUCCUAUGAUACUUGGAUAGAGAAUUGAAAGCAUUUAAUCUUGCAUGUCAACCUCAUCAGAGCAGUAUGCUUCUAUUACCUGGAGUGGCCCUUUUGACAGCAUGGGUCUCCUCAUCCUCACAAUAGGGAUUGGACUUUGAGCUACUCAAAUUUUGGGAUUCUAAAAUUUUCUGCUUUGCCUGCAGUGGCCUAAUAAAGACAUCAAGUUUGCAAUCUAUGAUUUCAAUUAAGCAAAGCAAGAACUGCAAAAUGCGACCAAGAGAAGGAAUGGUUUUGAACAAAUAACUUUGACAACUCAACAUACAACCAAACUCGGCAAAGAUUGCUCUUUAGUUGACUAUUACUAGACAUCUACAAAAGAAUAUUAAUCCCAUCCAAACAAUUUAUCGAACAUCUACCCUGCAAAAGGAAAAAUCCGAAUCCAUAAUCCGCGAUAGUAUACCUGAUUCAGAAAUCUAAAUCUAGUUAUCUGCAAAAGGAAAUUGAAUUCUAUAAAUCUGAAUCCAUAAAAAUAAACAAAUAAAAUAUCCACAUGUAUUUGAAUUUGCACGAUUCAUCGUCCAUAUCUCACAAUUUAACGAACAAGUUAUAGCAAAGAAGCUAAUUAAUGUCGGAGUGUUAAGAUUUACAGAGCAAGGUGACCUUAUUUUCAUUUAACUGGGAAAAGAAAUAUAGAAUAAGAAAAAGGAUGGGGGAAUGUCCUAAGAGUGCUAAGAGUAGUCCCAUCUGAGAAAGGAUUGACCAGGACAUCACUUUAAACAUAUAUAAUUCUGAAAGUUGAACGCCAUAACUACUUGAAACCAAUCUAGGCCUCAGGACAGCAUAUAUAGUAAUCACUAAUUGCUUGUUUUCUGCCAAAUUUCCCAUGUAGGACCAGCCAGCUUCAUUGCAAUGAUUAGGGGGAGCAGAAUUCUGAUUGUGGAAUACAUAUCUUUAUUGAAGGAUGAACAAAUGACACCCACCUUUAAUUGAACAAGUAAAGAAUUAGAGUUUCAGUAAUAGAUUUCUCAUUGUUUAUCCCUGAUUCAAUAUCGUUGCUAGUUGUAUCACUUCAGAGUCUAGAAACGAAUCCGAAAUCGUGCUAUCUACAUCAGAACAGCUAUCGAAUUCCUGUUCCACUACGUUUCCACCAUAAGCAGGAAUAUCGUUCCUGACAAAUAGACAAGGUAGCAGUUCUUCAUACUCGUAUUCACCUUGAUGAUCGGCGCUCUCCUUCUCCGAAUCAGCUACUUUCUGAAGCUCCAAUGCGGCCUCUAGUGCCAUCUCUACUUCCCCCAUCUCAGGUCGUCCCUUACCAGUCUGGCAAACACAACAAUAGGCAAUCUCCACAAAUUUCUCGAAACAUUGAGGGGCUAUUUUCUUCUUCAAAUAAGGAUCAAUGAUGUCAUAGAUAGUCCCGUUUUCGAUACAUUUACUAUCCCAAGAAGUUAAACUUUUUUUAAUCCCUUCCAAUGUUAGAUCAAUUGCCUUCCUUCCGCAUAACACCUCAAACAAAACAAUCCCAAAAGCGUAAACAUCAGUUUUUCUGGUUAUACGGCCAGUUAUAUAACACUCUGGAUCCAUAUGAACGACGGUAACUGGUAUUUUGAUGUUCAAAGAGCCAGUAGGAGAACCAGCUUGGCUCAUCUUUGACAGGCUAAGAUCGGAAAGCUUAGGAUUCCAUUCGUCAUCCAAUAGAAUGUUUCGGCUCCUGAUGUUACGAUGGAUUAUCGAAUGCUUUGCUCCUGAAUGAAGGUAAUGCAACCCACGGGCUGCACCACUGCAUAUCGUUAGCCUCCGCUUCCAGGAGAGUGGAUCAUUAGAACGAUUUCCAUAAAGAUGUUUAUCAAGUGAACCAUUGCUUAUAUAUUCAUAAACCAGAAGCUUUUCAUCUUCUUCGUCGCAGAAUCCGAUGAAAGAGACAAGAUUCGGGUGUCGUAGCUGACACAGUAACUGCACCUCGGUUCGGAAUUCACGACCUCCUCGCAGUCCAAAUGGCCCAAAGCGCUCAAUAGUAACUGCCAUAGUCCCAUCAUCAAUGAUUCCUUUGUAUAGAUCUCCAAAACCACCACGACCAAGGAGAAAGUCUUCACGGAAGCUGUUGAUAGCAGCUUUAAUCUCUCAAGUAAGAAUUGUCGGCAUAGUCCCUCUGGGAAUGCUGAACAUUGCUUCCCUGGAGACCUUCCAUUUCCCCUGCUUUUAUCCGACUUUUGUUAGGCGAUUUAUUAAUAAUGUGGAAGAAAAGUAGAAGGGAUUUUAAAGGGUUUUUCAUUGCAAGAAAUGAAGGAAGCAAGUUUGGAUUUGAUUGAAUGUUACAGUUUCUUCUGAUUAGCUUACAUUGUUCGUUUCAAAUGUGAAUUACAUUUUGGGAUUGAGCAUUACUUUGCAACUUUCUGGAAGUGCCAUAUUGGGUCGAAGGAUUGAACUUCCUUGAUAAAUUUCUGCAGUGUGAAAAGAACUUAAUUUUCAGUAUGAGUUGAAAUUUCAAAGUAAACGACAAUUUAAUUCAGAACGCGGAAAUGUGUUUGACCUUUAUGGCUUCUGGUUUCAUUAAGCCUCGAAUGAUGACUUGAACCUUAGUUUGAGGCGGUGGCAAAAUGCGUAAGCAUAAACUUAAACAUAACAAGAGCACAGAGUUUAUUUAUACUGUUACUCCUCAGAAAUUACAUUCUAUAAACCCUUUUUUUAUUAUUAUCAAGUUACCAUCUCUUGUGUCAAUAAAAACUUUAUGAAGUUGAUUGAAACAUGUUUAUUUAAUACUUGUUUGUAAGCAAGGAGCUCUCAUUCAAGUAAACAUUUCCCCAUGGUGGGCUCAAUGUUUCAUUAAACUUUCUUUCCAGGAAAGAGGAAAAUCCUGUUACUUUGCAGGUAAUAACAGUGACAUUAUCCACUCCCAGGUGUUACCUGUGUAAUUUUCUUUCCGAGAACAUAAUACAAACCGAGAAAGUCUGCAUUUUGGAGCCAAAAGUUCUUUUAGUUUGGAUUCUUCAAUUAAUGAACAAUUUAUCGUCAUAAACCAAUAGUUAGUACAAUCAAUGAUUUUAGUAUAAACACAAUAUGAUCUAAACCUGAUCAAUAAAUAUAAGCUCGGAUAAAUAAAUCACUGUCCUCAUCCGGUCAUCCCUCUAUUGUUAAUCCAUCCAUGAUAAGCCAUGCAACAAUGAAAGAACGCUUGGGAAUUGAAUUAGCAGACUAUCUAAACAGAAAUAGCUAUCCUGACAAAGCAUUUAACUAUUAUUAUUGUGGUUAUUUGUUGGGGUUUUGACAGCAGCAAAAGAAGAGAACAAGACAGAGAACAAAGGAGCAAGAAGCUUGAUAUAAUUUACUUGCUCACAAACGUGCAGCAAGGAAGCAAUCUGCUGAUAUGCUUACUCAGUCAAUAUGAAAACAAUGCAUUUAUAGUCAAAAUACAUCACCAAAUAUUCAACUAACCCCAUUAAUCAGUAUUGGGACUAUUAAAACAUUGCUUGUACACAAGAACUAAGUUAAUUUUCAACAUUAUUGCUAUCUGAAUCUGAUAAGUCACUAUCAAAUUCAGAAUAAUUAUGGCUAUCAAGACCCGCAAAAUUCCUAAUAAAGGCAGAAAACAGUGCUUCUUCAUACAUAAACUCACCAGAAAGAUAGAUUCUCCCCAUUUCGGAAUCUGCUCUCUCUUGCAGCUCCAAGGCAAGUUCUAGUGUGACCUCCACCUCACCCAUUGCUGGCCUUCCAUUUCCCAUAAAGUGGACACAACUAGAAGCGAUUUCCAAAUACUUGUUCAAACAUUCUGGAGCUAUCCUUCCCUUGAGGUACGGAUCAAUGGCAUGAUAAAUGGUUCCUUGGCUUAGGGAUUCCAUUGCCCAAUCAAACAGAUAUUGUUUCUUCUUAGGCAGUGUGCUAUCAUAUUGUCGUCUGCCAAAAAGAACUUCGAACAAAACGAUCCCAAAUGAGUAGACGUCAGAUUUUUCAGUCAGUUCCCCAAGCAUGGCGUAUUCUGGAGC
rnacentral:lncRNA from 1 species